AAACACACAAGGACUUGACACGAGUGGUCGGUUGACAAACUGUGUACAGGAAUCACGAUGGAUUUUAGGAAAAUAGCAGAGGGGGUUGCAGACAGGCUACAGAAAUAUUACAAAACGGCAGAAGGCUGGACAUCCGCAAAGAAAUCGAUAUAAAGGUGAGGCUAUUUACAACUGUCCUCCUAAAACUGUAUUUGACUAUGUGGAACCCUUACCAGAUGGUCCCAGGGCAAAAUGGGACACCAACAUGAAGAAGAUCGAAAUCCUAAAGUGGAUUGAAACACCUGAUUUAAGAAUCAAUCGUGCCUGUACAGCCAGCGCCAUGCUUGGUCUGAUCUCACCUCGUGACUUUGUGGACCUCAUUCUAGUGCGAGAAACCGACGAAUGCUUUUCUACCAAUGCUAUCAGUAUUGAAUAUCCUGAAUGUCCAGAGGUCAAAGAUCAUGUGCGGGGUUGGAACUGGUCAUGUGGCAUGAUCUGUGUCAAAUACCCAGACGAUCCAAACAAGUGUAAAUUAGUCAGCUUAAUUCAGCCAGACAUUAAGGGGAUGCUCCCCAAAAACGUGGUGGAAUCUGCCAUUCCUGGCUCCAUGGUGGAAUUCUUCACUAAACUGGAGGAGGCACUGAAAAAGGACGGCAAGAUAUCGAGCUGAAGGACUUGGACUAGGGUCAGAGAGGGGUCGGGGGAGGGGACCGUGACAUGUUGUGUAUAUUUGUGUUGUUGCCCGGCCAUCUGGGGCCGUGUUGAGGUAAUACGUAGUACCUUCUGUUCCGGAGUCAAAAGCGCUAUCAUAAUGAACAAAGUUCUUCAUCAACAACGCUUUAAUUAUGUUGAAUAUGUUCAUGAUAUGAUAGCACAUUGCCCAUUACAUUUUCGAUCCAUAUCUUGAAUUUAUUUGUUUUUAAUGUAUAUCUAAUGAGUUAAGCCAGAUGUCAUACCUUUGAAAUCGUAAACACAAUUUUUAUAGUGCUAAUUGUUAGAUUUAGUAUAAAAAGACAUAUAACAACACUUCUAUGAGGCGUGGUCUUUCACUCCUGUAAUGAACUUUUAUUUUUGGCCCUAACAUGGAACACUGGAAAAGCAAGAUAUUGUCUAAUCUUUUAAUUUUUGAUGUUCUUGUUUCCGAAUAUUAAAAUUAUCGAGAAAAAGCUCUUUGGGAUUUAAAAAAAAAACCACACAAAAGAAAUCAAAGUCUUAUAUUCAUGUAAACAAAGGUCUUUAAUAUAUUCCUUGUCGUCUUAUGCUUCAUCCACCGCAGUUUGAAGUUAAAUGAUUAUUUUAUGUAUUGUCAUAAAAAGUGUAAGUCGUGAGGUGAAGAGGACUUAAAUUGUGAACAUUUUUCGUAUUUUACAAAUUAAAAGAAUUUUUAAGUAUUAUUUAUUGUACACAGGUUAUUUAUUUUGAAUAUACAAUGUAUGUAAAACAAAUAAAUAUAGAUGUAUGUUU
rnacentral:misc_RNA from 1 species